AGUCAAUAGAUACCCGGGUAGUCCAUGCCGUAAACGAUGAUUGCUAGGUGUGGGGGGUCUGACCCCUUCCGUGCCGGAGUUAAACACAAAUAAGCAAUCCACCUGGGGAGUACGGCCGCAAGGUUGAAACUCAAAGGAAUUGACGGGGGCCCGCACAAGCAGUGGAGUAUGUGGUUUAAUUCGAAGCAACGCGAAGAACCUUACCAGGUCUUGACAUCCACCGAAUCCUGUAGAGAUACGGGAGUGCCCUUCGGGGAACGGUGAGACAGGUGGUGCAUGGUUGUCGUCAGCUCGUGUCGUGAGAUGUUGGGUUAAGUCCCGCAACGAGCGCAACCCUUGUGAAUAGUUGCUACGAAAGAGCACUCUAUUCAGACCGCCGUUGACAAAACGGAGGAAGGUGGGGAUGACGUCAAAUCAUCAUGCCCCUUAUGGCCUGGGCUACACACGUACUACAAUGGCCGUUAACAGAGGGAUGCAAUGCCGCGAGGUGGAGCG
rnacentral:rRNA from 1 species